rnacentral:rRNA from 1 species
GUGUCAGCAGCCGCGGUAAGACAGAGGGGGCUAGCGUUGCUCGGAAUCACUGGGCGUAAAGGGCGCGUAGGCGGGGUGGCAAGUCGGUCGUGAAAUCCUCCGGCUCAACCGGAGAACGUCGGCCGAAACUGCCAUUCUUGAGGGAUGCAGAGGAGACUGGAAUUCCCGGUGUAGCGGUGAAAUGUGUAGAGAUCGGGAGGAACACCGGUGGCGAAGGCGGGUCUCUGGGCAUCUCCUGACGCUGAGGCGCGAAAGCGUGGGGAGCAAACGGGAUUAGAAACCCCUGUAGUCC